rnacentral:pre_miRNA from 15 species
UUCCUGGGUACUUUCCUGUAUAUGACCUUGGAAAUCAAGAAUGGGUGGAGCCUGUUGAAUUAAUUCUAGGCGACCCAUACUUGGUUUCAAGGGUCAGCAGGGAAUCUACAGAAGAAACGC